ACAUUGAUGUCCUGACAUUAGUCUAUAAAAUGUUUAGCCUGGUGUCAACAAACGUGCAACGAUUCAAUCUGCUUCACCCUUGUGGUUCUGAACUUGCAGGGCGUCUUUGUUCUUGAACGGUGCGGAAUUUUUUUUUCUAGAGACAACAAGGUGCUCUUUUUUUCUUUCGAGUUUGAAAUGAAAAAAGGAAAACGUUUGGGGCCGGGGCACCGGCGGAACAUUGGGCCGGUCCCAUGCGCAGCGUUCGAUCCCACCACAAUCGUACGCCCCGUGACUCCACCGCAGGCCCAGCUUUUUUUCUCUGUCUUAUCUUCUUCUUUCCACCUCCCUCCCUUAUCCUCUUCCUCCCUUCACCCCGAUCCCCUCCACAUCUCUCUCUCUCUCUUUCUCCCAGCGAGAGAAAUCCCCCUCCAUGAGAUUUAGCACCGGCUGCUGCUACUUGGAGCCAGCCAUGGCCACUCACCGAAUCCCCUCGCCUCUCCCAUCCUUGUUGUUUUUGCCGCAAAAAAGAGUGAGAGGAGUUCCCAUGGCGGCUGCACCACGUCGACAGUGGGCUGCAUCGACGGGAUUCAACGGCGAUUGCAUCGAGCAGCUCCUGCGGUGCUACACCCAGCGGUUAGAAAUGUUUCCAGAUGCUGGAACCAUGGCGGCAAAUCCCAACGGGCCCUUGCCGCCGGCGACAACUUUAUUUUUGUUGGAACCACUGUGUGUUUUUGCUGGAACUAGCUAUUUUUUUGCUACAAUCGUCACUGGGAGCUUUUUCCUGCUAACUUUGUUUUUGCUGAAAUCGGCUUUUGUUUUUGCUGGAACCUAGUAAUUUUUUGCUUCAACCGACCAACUAAAGAUUUUUGUUGCUUGGCACUCCGACCCGCGGCGAGCCGGAGGCGAUGAUGCUAUUGAUGUUGCAACCGUAGUCACCUUGGACUGGAACCGACAGGUGUCAGAGUUGCAACCAUGGUGACCAUGGCGAGCGCUACUCUGCUUUUCUACUGCAUUUUUGGUGAUGAUGAUUUUGCUACAACCUUUUUGCGGCGGCGAGGGGCGGAAACUGGCGGCAAGGGCGGGGACCGGCAAGACCGGAGCGCCUGCUGCAGGCCAUGGCGGCAGCGCUUUGUUCCCACGAGAAUGGAGGAACCGAGAUCGAAAGCGGAGCGCGAGGAAGGAGGAACCGAGAUCGAUAGCGGAGCGGGAUGCACUUUUUUUUUAUUGCGAGACCCAGAUCGAACGGGUGAAAUAUGCUGAAUCGGACGCUCGCGCGUUGACCGGCUCAGCUAUUCGGCCGGUGCGCCGGCGCCUAUCAGCGCCCAUGAAAAAAAGGUACCACUGCAACAACGAAACCAGUCACAGAUUCAGUA